rnacentral:rRNA from 1 species
UACGGAGGAUGCAAGCGUUAUCCGGAAUUAUUGGGCGUAAAGCGUCCGCAGGUGGUUGAACAAGUCUGCUGUCAAAGCGCGGAGCUUAACUCCGUAAAGGCGGUGGAAACUGUUUAACUGGAGUACGGUAGGGGUAGCGGGAAUUCCCAGUGUAGCAGUGAAAUGCGUAGAUAUUGGGAAGAACACCAGCGGCGAAAGCGCGCUACUGGGCCUGUACUGACACUGAGGGACGAAAGCUAGGGGAGCGAGAGGG